rnacentral:lncRNA from 10 species
CUCGGUUGGAGGGGUUGUUCUCCAGUAUUACUGGCCAUGGUUCGGGCAGCCUGGACUUUAUGGGGGAAUGCAGGGAUUGUUUGGAGCAAUCAGCACCCAUAGGCUGGGCAGGCUCGAUUCUUUAUUGGGGGGUGUCUUGCUAUGUUACCCAGGCUGGACUCAAAUUCCUUGGCUCAAGUGAUCCUCCCACCUCCUCAGCCUCCCAAAGUGCUGGAAUUACAGGCGUGAGUUGCUGCACCCAGCCUGCUCAGUGACGUUGAUGUUAGCCAGAUUCCAUCUUAUCUAUGGAAAACGGAAGCACAACAGGUGAAGUUGCCUGCCAAGUCAGCCAGCUGUGCCCACCUGCUGAUUCGGACUCUUAGCGACCCCUCCACAGCACUGUCCUGAGGGUGAAAUGAGAUCGGGGACAAAGUGCCACCAACUGGAAAAGGUUAACUCAGAACCAUCUGGCACCCACCAGAACUUCCUACGCCGGGAGUGCGUCAGAACCAGCCGAGGGUGUGAAAGCGGACACUGUCACACUGUGGUAGGAUUCUAAAUCAUUCACUAUUUACAUGAGCACAGAAAUAAACUAGAAUAAGAUGUGUUAAUUUUCUGUGUUAAUUAUCACAGACCGCACUCUAUCCCCUGGCGGUUCUGCAGGUCGGAGCCGGGUAUGCGCUCCUCCUGAAGCGGGCUCACGGGCCUGGCGGGCCCAGGACAAGGGGUGGGGGUAGGAGAAGGGAGGGCUGGGGGCAAAGCAGCCUCUCCCCGGCCUCGCCCCG